rnacentral:rRNA from 1 species
GGCUUUUWGAAUAUAAUUUAAAGUYUGCCYKCCCCCUGAUUAAUUAAAUGGCCGCAGUAUUUUGACUGUGCAAAGGUAGCAUAAUCAUUAGUUUUUUAAUUGAAAGCUAGAAUGAAUGGUUUGAUGAAAAAUUAACUGUCUUUAUUAAAUUAAUUGAAUUUUAUUUUUAAGUAAAAAAGCUUAAAUAAUUUUAAAAGACGAGAAGACCCUAUAGAGUUUUAUAUUAAGAUUUGAAUUAGAAAUUUAGAUUUAAUUUUUAAAUAAAAUAUAAUAUUUAAUUGGGGCGAUUGAAAAAUUUAAUUAACUUUUUUUUUUUAAAACAUUUAUAUAUGAAGUAUUGAUCCAUUAAUAGUGAUUAAAAGAUAAAUUACCUUAGGGAUAACAGCGUUAUUUUAUUAGAGAGUUCUUAUUGAUAAUAAAGUUUGCGACCUCGAUGUUGGAUUAAAAUUUAAUUUUGGKGUAAAAGCUAAAUAUUUAAGUCUGUUCGACUUUUAAAAUUUUACA